GACAAAUGAUAAAAGCUAUCAUUUUUUUUCAUUCUUUCUUCUUCAACCGUGGGAAAGAACAGAAAAUAGCAGCCAUGGAUGAGCUCCAUUCGGCCAAGCUUUUAUGGCUUAUAUAGAUGAUGAAAAUUGAGACUUGGACCUAGAACGGAAAGAAAUCGAUUUAUGGACGAGUAUGUCCUUUUCACAUUUGUGGUAUCGAGAGUUCCAGGUUAGCUCGGGUUGGAGGCCGUCAGAGAUAUUAUCACCCUAUCGAGUUAACGUUAUCGGAGUAAGUAAACUCAAGUGAUUCGAGUCUAUGGCAUGUAUAGGGUUUUAAUGUGAGUAUGUAAUAUUAUGAUUUAGCCAAAGGCAUUGGCUUGUUAUUAAGGUAGUAUUAGUCAUGUAAAUUGGCCUAUGUCGGCUAAUGACGUUAUGGGCCCAUAUGAUUAUUCUUAUGCAUUUAUGUUAUUAUUUCUUGUGAUGUGGCUUACAACAUGUAUGCCUAGAGAUUGAAUUGAGAUUCAUUGAUGAGCUAGUAACUAAUGCAGGAUUAAGUGAUUGGUAAAUAGUUAAUAA